GACGAACGCUGGCGGCGUGCCUAAUACAUGCAAGUAGAACGCACAGUUUAUACCGUAGCUUGCUACACCAUAGACUGUGAGUUGCGAACGGGUGAGUAACGCGUAGGUAACCUGCCUGGUAGCGGGGGAUAACUAUUGGAAACGAUAGCUAAUACCGCAUAAUAUUAAUUAUUGCAUGAUAAUUAAUUGAAAGGUGCAAUUGCACCACUACCAGAUGGACCUGCGUUGUAUUAGCUAGUAGGUGAGGUAACGGCUCACCUAGGCGACGAUACAUAGCCGACCUGAGAGGGUGGUCAGCCACACUGGGACUGAGACACGGCCCAGACUCCUUCGGGAGGCAGCAGUAAGGCAUCUUCGGCAAUGGACGAAAGUCUGACCGAACAACGCCGCGUGAGUGCAGAAGGUUUUCGGAUCGUAAAGCUCUGUUGUAAGAGAAGAACGGGUGUGAGAGUGGAAAGUUCACACUGUGACGGUAUCUUACCAGAAAGCGACGGCUAACUACGUG
rnacentral:rRNA from 1 species